rnacentral:rRNA from 1 species
GAUGAACGCUGGCGGCGUGCCUAAUACAUGCAAGUCGAGCGAACAGACGAGGAGCUUGCUCCUCUGACGUUAGCGGCGGACGGGUGAGUAACACGUGGAUAACCUACCUAUAAGACUGGGAUAACUUCAGGAAACCGGAGCUAAUACCGGAUAAUAUAUUGAACCGCAUGGUUCAAUAGUGAAAGACGGUUUUGCUGUCACUUAUAGAUGGAUCCGCGCCGCAUUAGCUAGUUGGUAAGGUAACGGUUUACCAAGGCAACGAUGCGUAGCCGACCUGAGAGGGUGAUCGGCCACACUGGAACUGAGACACGGUCCAGACUCCUACGGGAGGCAGCAGUAGGGAAUCUUCCGCAAUGGGCGAAAGCUUGACGGAGCAACGCCGCGUGAGUGAUGAAGGUCUUCGGAUCGUAAAACUCUGUUAUUAGGGAAGAACAAAUGUGUAAGUAACUAUGCACGUCUUGACGGUACCUAAUCAGAAAGCCACGGCUAACUACGUG